rnacentral:rRNA from 1 species
CAAACCGUUGCCCCCAUCUCCUCUAUCUCUAUCCCCUCUCUCUCUCUCUCCGCCCCACCCCUCUCUCUCUCCCGCUCGUCUCUCCCUCUCCCUCGUGCGAGCAGAUACGGCGGCCUCGCAUCCGCCCGCCGGUGAGCACCGCCUCCUCGCCGGACCCCUGGAGCCCCGCCGCCCCGCGCUGCCGCCUGCGCCGUGUCGCGCGCCGCCACCUCCCCACAAGCUCGCCGCCCCGCACCGAGCUCCUUUGCGCCCCGCCCUCGUCCCCGCGUUGCCACCGCCGCCCCAUGCUGCCUCGCGCCCGGAUCCGGCCGCGGGAGAUCCGGACACUCCGGAUCCGGCCUCCUCCUCGCCGCAUCCAAAGAUACUUGUAUGGGGAUCCGGCCUUCUCCUCGCCGCUGCCGCAGGCGUUGAACCGCCCCGUCCCCGAAGUCCGCGAAGCGCUUCUUGCAGAGGAAGUUGCACCAGGUCUCGCCCCACCCCUCUCCCGCUCUAUCCUGUCAGAUUUGGGGUCGAUCAGACCGUCUUCACCGGGGCUGGUCGGCGGAGUUUUCUUCCGGUGCUGACCGUGGCCGUGUUAGCGAUUCUGUUUGUCUGGAUGUUGCUGCAGGGAGGAGGGGGAGAGAAAGGAGGCGGUGGAGGAGGAGGAGGGGCGGCCGGUGAUGUGGCCCAGCUGGAGGCGCAGAUCGCGCUCCACUACGGCAUCCCCUACGCCUCCUCCGUCAUGGUGUUCGACCCCGUGCAGCGGCUGCUCGCCGUGGGGACGCUGGAUGGGAGGAUCAAAAUCUUUGGGGGUGAUAAUAUCGAAGGCAUCCUCAUAUCGCCGUAGAGCAUGCCAUACAAGUAUCUUCAGGUUUGGCACUUCAUACAAAAAGAGUAGCCCGAUUUGUUAACUGUAGGAUGGACCAAACUGUAGGACUUUGGUCGUUGGUCUUGGCACAUGGAGCAGCAGCACAAUGCAGAACUGCUCCGCUCAAAAAACAGAGCAGCUAGCCAACCAAACUGAGAUACAAUGUAGACAGGCAGGCAGCAAGUACUCCAACUAGUUAGCAGACAUAUUUUUUCCCUUCCAAUCCCCUUCCUGCUAUUGUGAUUACCACCAACAAAGAAUUUUAUCUGGCCUCCUCCUCCUCCGCGGGAAAGAAUACAAUGGAUCUUUUUUGGUUAGGCGAAAUUUAUGUCUGUACAUGCUUGAUAUGAAAGGAGGGGUUUAUCUAAUUAACUACACAUAUGGUUUCACAUUCCACCUGUGUGCUCGCAAUUUAAAUGCAGUAUAUUUUACUCACCAAUACAUCUUGAACAAUCUAAAAAAUAUAUAGCUUGGUUUAUCUUUGUAACUCCUUAUCUGAUUUUUUUCCAUUUUCCACAUUGUUGUGUCUAUUUUCUCAGUUUGGUCCUGUGUAAAUACUUGUCUUAGGGGUCUCUGUAUUGCAUAUACACGGAAUCUUCAAUUUGUCUCAAAUGCUCAGUGGUAAAAACCAGCCAUGCUGGCGGUUCUUAUCAGUGUGAUGGUAUGCUAACUGUUUCUGAUAUAAUUCUGCUCUAAAAGCCCUACACUAUUUUUGUCUUGUAGAUACACCAUGCAGACAAAUGCUGAGUUAAAAGGUCAUAACUUUACACUAAUUUAAGAUUGUCUUGACCUCAAGUGCUGGCUCCUACAGCAUUGCAUUUCACCCAGUGAAAUGCUACAUUUCUACUCCUAACCCAUUCUCUCUUUCUUAGUGUUUUUGUUAUGCAGGUUGGAAGAAAAGAAGAAGAUCCAGAGAAGAUCUUAGUAAUAAGAUAGUUUUUAGGAAAAUAGAUAUUUAGUUUUAUGUCAUUUCUUGUAAUUUUAGAUAUGGAGUGCUUGCCUUUAGUUUUUGUUUUGACUUUGUGAAACUUGCUACUCUUGGUAACAUGUGUUGGAUAUAUAUGUGUUCAUGAGUAUCGGUAAUAUGUGUUGGAUAUGCUAUACUGGUC